rnacentral:rRNA from 1 species
UACGGGGGGUGCAAGCGUUGUUCGGAUUUACUGGGCGUAAAGCGCACGCAGGCGGACUGUCAAGUCAGAUGUGAAAACCACGAGCUUAACUCUUGGCCAGCAUUUGAAACUGCCAGUCUUGAGUACCGGAGAGGAUGGCGGAAGUCCCAGUGUAAAGGUGAAAUGCGUAGAUAUUAGGAAGAACACCGGCGGCGAAGGCGGCCAUCUGGACCGGUACUGACGCUGAGGCGCGAAAGCGUGGGGAGCAAACAGG